UACGAAGGGUGCAAACGUUGCUCGGAAUUAUUGGGCGUAAAGCGCACGUAGGCGGCUUUGCAAGUCGGAUGUGAAAUCCCUCGGCUUAACCAAGGAAGUGCAUCCGAAACUGCAGAGCUUGAGUACUUAAGAGGAUCGCGGAAUUCCCGGUGUAGAGGUGAAAUUCGUAGAUAUCGGGAGGAACACCGGUGGCGAAGGCGGUUCUCUGGGCCUGUACUGACGCUGAGGAGCGAAAGCGUGGGGAGCGAACAGG
rnacentral:rRNA from 1 species